UUGGAACCAUAUUUUGAGUUUUUGGACGAAUUUUUAGAUCAAAUCUUUUGAAGAAGGUAGAUUAAUAUAUUGAAAAGCUAGACAUACAAAUUUUGCAGCAUUUGAGUACUUAAUUUGUGAAAUAUAAAGAAAAUUACAUGUGGAUAUAUAAAAAUUAGGAUUUGAAGCUACUGUUAGGAUUUUGGCAAUAUCUUAAGAUUUGCAAUAAAUUUACAAUUGAAA
rnacentral:lncRNA from 1 species